ensembl:snRNA U6 U6 spliceosomal RNA
GUGCUUGCUUUGGCAGCAUAUAUACUAAAAUUGCAGUAAUACAGAGAUUUGCCCUUGUGCACGGAAGACAAGCAAAUUUGUGAAUUGUUCCAUAUUUUC